CACAGUUGUGCCCUUGAAAGGUUAUGAAAAGAACAGGAUAGACAGAAGAACUGUGGUCACUCAGAGGCUCUUUAUCUUAUGUGCAGCGUGACCUCGGAGACAGAAGAUGAUUUUGUAACAAUACAGGUCUAUUUUGUUACUCAAGUUUAUCUCUGUCCCAAGCCGCCCCAUGUUCUUGACUAUACGUGUCAUGUACUGUCAUGUUGUGUCUUGUCUCUGUCCUUUCCCUUCACCCUGUCUCCCUCUGCUGGUCGUUGUUAGGUUACCUUUUCUCCCCCAGCUGUUCCUUGUCUCCUCUGACUACCCAUUCACCCCGUUUCCCACCUGUUCCCUUUUUCCCUCUGAUUAGGUCCCUAUAUCUCUCUCUGUUUCUGUUCCUUGUCUCCUCUGACUACCCAUUCACCCCGUUUCCCACCUGUUCCCUUUUUCCCUCUGAUUAGGUCCCUAUAUCUCUCUCUGUUUCUGUUCCUGUCCUUGUCGGAUUCUUGUUUGUUGUGUUUCAUGCCUGAGCCAGACUAUCGUCAUGUUUGCUGUAACCUUGUCCUGUCCUGUCGGAAUCUGCCGGUCUAUCUGAGCCUACCUAUGUUUGGUUAUUAAAGAAGCUCUGUUUAAGUUAGUUCGCUUUUGGGUCCUCAUUCACUCACCAUAACAAUACGUCUAAACCAGCUGCGGGGAGCUAGAGUGGAACCAUCCCCUUACAGAAACACAACAUUAGUAGAAUAGAAAUGUCUUACUAUUGUUAAGCAUAUAAUUGUUAACUAUUAAUAUUCAACAAAUCAGGUAAAUGCGUAAUUGUUCUCCCACAAUAGUGCCAACUGUAAAGUUUGGUGGAGGAGGAAUAAUGGUCUGGGGUUGUUUUUCAUGGUUCAGGCUAGGCCCCUUAGUUCCAGGGAAGGGAAAUCUUAACAUUACAGCAUACAAUAGCAUUCUAGAUGAUUCUGUGUUUUCAACUUUGUGGCAACAAUUUGGGGAAAUCCCUUUCCUGUUUUAACAUGACUAUGCCCCCAUGCACAAAGCGAGGUCCAUACAGAAAUGGUUUGUUGAGAUUGUGUGGAAGAACUUGACUGUCCUGCAGAAAGCCUUGACCUCAACUGCGAGCCAGGCCUAAUCGCCCAACAUCAUUGACCGACCUCACUAAUGCUCUUGUGUCUGAAUGGAAGCAAGUCAUGGCAGCAAUGUCCCAACAUCUAGUGGAAAGCCUUCCCAGAUGAGUCGAGGCUGUUAUAGCAGCAAAGGGGGGGUCAACUCCAUAUUAAUGCCCAUGAUUUUGGAAUGAGAUGUUCAACAAGCAGGUGUCCACAUGCUUUUGGACAUCUAGUGCAUGUUGUAAGCUACUUUAGUUUCAUGUCCUGCUGGUAUAGCACUUAGAUGAGUUAUUGGAUGAUUACUAAAAGGCUCACUAGGAGACAUUUCACUCCUGUUCUCAUUCUUGUUCCCUUUCCCUAUCAUCCUGAAUCCAAGGCACUCGCUUCUUGACCACCCACCCCUUAAAAUAAUUUGCUGGGAAAACAGCCAGUUUGAAGGUCACUAUGUGGUAAUGAUGUCCUCUUUUCUAGCUAUGUGUGUGGCUACUUCAUGUGUUAACAUUCUGAUGUCAGUAUUUUCAAGUUCCCAUGCAGUCUUUGCCAAGUAACAUUUUUAACAGUUUAGGUCCUUUAGGGGAAAUAUAAUUUGUUGUUGUUUUGAAUGGAUCAAAUGUCAUGUUUGUUAUGUCUGUCUGCCAAUUUAGUCAAUAUAGUGCUAAAACUUCCUGCAGACAAGAACGUUUCGCUUUGCGCAUUAUGUAUUGUGUGCAGUUUGAUAAAGUAAGUCUACACCAAGAAAAGGUGUCAGCCUGCAACAAAACUAGUGGUUAUGAUGAAUAUAUUAGCUCUGAGACAAC
rnacentral:lncRNA from 13 species